UAUUGGGCAUGGACGAGAGUCUGACCCAGCCAUGCCGCGUGCAGGAAGAAGGCUUUCUGAGUCGUAAACUGCUUUUGACAGGGAAGAAUAAGCUUCACGUGCGGAGUGAUGACGGUACCUGCAGAAUAAGCACCGGCUAACUCCGUGCCAGCAGCCGCGGUAAGACGGAGGGGGCUAGCGUUGUUCGGAAUUACUGGGCGUAAAGCGCACGUAGGCGGCCUUUCAAGUCAGAUGUGAAAGCCCCGAGCUUAACUCGGGAACUGCAUUUGAUACUGUUGGGCUUGAGACCGGGAGAGGAUAGCGGAAUUCCCAGUGUAGAGGUGAAAUUCGUAGAUAUUGGGAAGAACACCAGUGGCGAAGGCGGCUAUCUGGACCGGUACUGACGCUGAGGUGCGAAAGCGUGGGGAGCAAAC
rnacentral:rRNA from 1 species